AUUGAACGCUGGCGGCACGCCUUACACAUGCAAGUCGAACGGCAGCGCGGACUUCGGUCUGGCGGCGAGUGGCGAACGGGUGAGUAAUACAUCGGAACGUACCCUGUUGUGGGGGAUAACUAGUCGAAAGAUUAGCUAAUACCGCAUACGACCUGAGGGUGAAAGUGGGGGACCGCGAGGCCUCACGCAGCAGGAGCGGCCGAUGUCUGAUUAGCUAGUUGGUGGGGUAAAGGCCCACCAAGGCGACGAUCAGUAGCUGGUCUGAGAGGACGAUCAGCCACACUGGGACUGAGACACGGCCCAGACUCCUACGGGAGGCAGCAGUGGGGAAUUUUGGACAAUGGGGGCAACCCUGAUCCAGCAAUGCCGCGUGUGUGAAGAAGGCCUCGGGUUGU
rnacentral:rRNA from 1 species